rnacentral:rRNA from 1 species
UACGAAGGGUGCAAACGUUGCUCGGAAUCAUUGGGCGUAAAGCGCACGUAGGCGGCCUCGCAAGUCUGAUGUGAAAUCCCUCGGCUCAACCGAGGACGUGCGGAAGAAACUGCAAGGCUCGAGUCCGGAAGAGGGGGGCGGAAUUCCCAGUGUAGCGGUGAAAUGCGUAGAUAUUGGGAGGAACACCAGUGGCGAAGGCGGUCCCCUGGGCCGGAACUGACGCUGAGGCGCGAAAGCGUGGGUAGCAAACGGG